GGGAGUGUAGCUCAGUGGUACAGCACUUGCCUAGCAUGCAUGAGGCCCUGGGAUCCAUCUCCAGCACUGCCU
rnacentral:tRNA from 1 species